rnacentral:ncRNA from 3 species
GAUCCUUCGAUGUCGGCUCUUC